GCUGUUUUCUUUUUUGCCUCUGUCCCCAACAAUUUGACCACAAGUCCUACCCCACCUCCUCUGUUUUUCACCAUCCCCCAGGAUAUAAAGUGUCAUGGUUAGGAUCGGCCAGGGUGAAGAGAAUGAUAACAUAAGUAGCCUCCUUUCACCUAAAGUAUUACCACUGGUUCUUAUCCUAUUUCCUCAAAAUAAAUGAGAAGAGAAAGUAAGGAAUAAGAGGAAGAAACUUUUUUUUUUUUUUUAAAGAAACAGGGUCUCACUAUGUUUCCUUUUUCUUUUUUCUUUUCUUUUCUUUCUUUUUUUUUUUUUUUUUUUUGAGACAGAGUCUUGCUCUGUCACCCAGGCUGGAAUGCAGUGGCGCGAUCUCGGCUCACUGCAAGCUCCGCCUCCCGGGUUCACGCCAUUCUCCUGCCUCAGCCUCCUGAGUAGCUGGGACUACAGGUGCCCGCUAGCACGCCCAGCUAAUUUUUUUUGUUUUUUUUUAGUAGAGACAGGGUUUCACCGUGUUAGCCAGGAUGGUCUCGAUCUCCUGACCUCGUGAUACUGCACUCCAGUCUGGGCAACAGAGCAAAAUCCUAUCUCAAAAAAAAUAUAUAUAUUAUCCAGCCCCAAAUGUUUGGAUUAGGUAAUGAAAUUACAAGAAGAACUGGAGGAGCAAAAAAGGCAAGGCAGGCACGAUUGCCCAGAUAUGAGUGCGCCACCAUGCCUGGCUAAUUUUUUUUAGGAGAGAUAGGCUCUCACUAUGUUGCCCAGGCUGGUCUCAAACCCCUGGGCUCAAGUGAUCCUCCCAUCUUGGCCUCCCAAAUUGUUGGGAUUAUAGGCAUGACCCACUGCACCCAGACAGGGCCUUUUCACUGCAUAAGAAAUCACCUUGGCCAGGCAUAGUGGCUUACACCUAUAAUCCCAGCACUUUGGAGGGCCAAGGCAGGUGGAUUGCUUGAGCCCAGGAGUUCGAGACCAGCCUGGGCAACAUGGCGAAAUCCCAUCUCUACAAAAAAUACAAAAAGUAGUCGGCAUUGUGGCAUGUGCCUGUAGUGCCAGCUACUUGGGAGGCUGAGAUGGGAGAAUCGCUUGAGCCCAGGAGUUUGAGGCUGCAGUGAGCUGAGAUCAUGCCACUGCACUCCAUCCUGGGUGACAGAGCAAGACCCUGUCUCAAAAAAAAACAAAAAACAAACAAAAAACCCUCAAAAUUUAGCAGCUUAAAACAACAAUCAUUAUCUCUUACAAUUCUGAUAAUUGAAUGAGCUCAGCUGAGCAGUUCUUCAUAUGCUAUAUUAUUUAAUUAAUCUGAGGGAUUAAUUAAAAGGUCCAAGAUGGCUAACUUGUAUGACCAUUAGCUGGUACUAUCAGGUGGGAUCUCAGCUGGGGUGGCCAGUUGCAGCGCCCUGAUUCUCCUCCAUGUGGCUUGAGCUUUCUUUAGCUUAGUGGGAUUCUAAGAAUGAACAUCUCAAGAGUGUUACCAGGGGGAAGGAAGUAGAAACUGCUAGUCCUCCUAAGUGCUGGGCUCAGAAGUCCCAAAACAGCUCCUCCAUCACAUUCUAUUGGUCAGAGCAAUUGCAGG
rnacentral:lncRNA from 1 species